rnacentral:tRNA from 1 species
GGGGAUUUAGCUCAGUGGUAGAGCACUUGCCUAGCAAGCGCAAGGCCCUGGGUUCGAUCCUCAGCUCCA